rnacentral:rRNA from 2 species
GCAGUCGAACGCAUUGUUCUUCACCGAGUGCUUGCACUCACCGAAGACAAUGAGUGGCGAACGGGUGAGUAACACGUGGGUAACCUGCCCAAAAGAGGGGGAUAACACUUGGAAACAGGUGCUAAUACCGCAUAAUUUGUUAAACCGCAUGGUUUGAUAAUGAAAGACGGCGUAAGCUGUCACUUUUGGAUGGACCCGCGGCGUAUUAGCUAGUUGGUGAGGUAAAGGCCCACCAAGGCAAUGAUACGUAGCCGACCUGAGAGGGUGAUCGGCCACAUUGGGACUGAGACACGGCCCAAACUCCUACGGGAGGCAGCAGUAGGGAAUCUUCCACAAUGGACGAAAGUCUGAUGGAGCAACGCCGCGUGAGUGAAGAAGGUUUUCGGAUCGUAAAGCUCUGUUGUUAGAGAAGAAUGUAGGUAAGAGUAACUGUUUACCUAGUGACGGUAUCUAACCAGAAAGCCACGGCUAACUACGUGCCAGCAGCCGCGGUAAUACGUAGGUGGCAAGCGUUAUCCGGAUUUAUUGGGCGUAAAGCGAACGCAGGCGGUUUUUUAAGUCUGAUGUGAAAGCCUUCGGCUCAACCGAAGAAAUGCAUUGGAAACUGGAUAACUUGAGUGCAGAAGAGGAGAGUGGAACACCAUGUGUAGCGGUGAAAUGCGUAGAUAUAUGGUAGAACACCAGUGGCGAAAGCGG